AACAAAAGUGCCCUAAUCUUCUUCAUCAAGAGCUUCAUUCAAGAAUCAAAGAAAGGGAUUGAGCAGAUUCAAAGAGUUAUCAAGAGCUCCAUCCUCCCUUGAAGAGUGAAGCAUCCUUGACAAAGAAGAGCAAAGCCACUUCAAAGCGAUAAAUACUUUCUAACUCUUUUUUGUAGUUAAUAUUGUUUCAUAUGCUCAUUUAGGAGUUUGAAUCUUUCCUUUUGUUUGUCGAACAAUUUGUAAAGGUUCGUUGGUGAACCCGUAAAACCAACAAAGAUUUUUGGUGAACCCGGAAAACCAAAGUGUAAAGGUUCGUUGGUGAGCCCGUAAAACCAACAAAGAUUUUUGGUGAACCCAGAAAACCAAAAGUGUAUAGGUUCGUUGGUGAGCCCGUAAAACCAACAAAGGUUUUUGGAUUGUGAGCCCAGAAAAUAAUCCAACUGUAAUCCGCGAGAUUAUAGUGAAUUCCCAAGGGGUCGCUUGGGGAGUGGACGUAGGUGCUAAGGAGAGCACCGAACCACUAUAUAUUGUUGUGUUUGUGUUGUGCUUGUGUUUACAUUUAUUCUUGCAUUACCUUCUAUCUUUGUUCUAGUUUAACUCAUUCUAAUAAUCUAAGAAAGCAACCACCGCACUUAAUUAAGAAAGCUUUUAAAGCACCAAAAUAAAGAAGAAACCAAUUCACCCCCCCUCUUGGAUUGUCACUUUGGGCAACAAGUGGUAUCAGAGCAAGGUGCUCUAAUAGUACUCAUUGAUCUCACAAUCAAGAGUUAAAGAUCAUGACAACCCAAGUGGGAUGUGCAAUGAGUGAGGGGCAAUCCACAAAUAGACCACCUCUGUUUAAUGGCACAAACUACACAUAUUGAAAAGCUAGAAUGAGGAUAUUCAUUCAAGCUUCAGAUUAUGAACUAUGGCAAAUCAUCACUAGAGGACCUUACACACCCACACUUAACAUAGAGGGCACUAUCAUACCCAAACCAGAAAUGGAUUGGAAUGAGAGUGAUAGAAGAUUAGCACAGUUAAAUGCAAAAGCUAUAAAUGUACUUUACUGCUCAUUAGAUGUAAAUGAAUUUAAUAGAAUAUCUACUUGCACUACC
rnacentral:lncRNA from 1 species